CACACACCUGGUCCUCACCUACCUGGAGAUCACACCUGAUAAACCAUCUGAUGUUUCAGAUGGACUGAGUCCAGGUUCAAUCACUGGUAUAACAAUAGCAGCAGUAGCAGCAGUGAUUAUAGCAGCAGUGAUAUGUUACCUGCUGAGAGCAAAUACAAAUGGUCAAAAUUAAAAGGAUCAUAGUGGAACACUACAUCAGAAUGGAGAAGAAUGAGAGGAAGCCAUAGAAAGACAAGAACAAGAACAAGGUC